UACGUAGGGUGCGAGCGUUGUCCGGAAUUAUUGGGCGUAAAGAGCUCGUAGGCGGUGUGUUACGUCGGCCGUGAAAACCUGCAGCUUAACUGUGGGCGUGCGGUCGAUACGGGCAUCACUGGAGUUCGGCAGGGGAGACUGGAAUUCCUGGUGUAGCGGUGAAAUGCGCAGAUAUCAGGAGGAACACCGAUGGCGAAGGCAGCUCGCUGGGACGGUACUGACGCUGAGGCGCGAAAGCGUGGGGAGCAAACAGG
rnacentral:rRNA from 1 species